GUGAAGGAGGAUCAGCAAGUCCUUGGAUAUCUACUUCAACACUUAUCCAAGGAAGUGCUCGUCACGGUGACCGCGAUCACCACGGCGCGCGAACUCUGGGUGGCGAUGGCGAGCAUGUUCUCAUCGCAGUCACUCAGCCGCGUCAACAUCAUUCGCACGAUGCUAAUCAACGCGCAGAAGGGCAACCAAUCGGUGUCCUCCUUCUUCGCCGCCAUGAGAGGGCUCGCUGAUGAACUCGCCGCGGCGGGGAAACCAAUCCAAGACGACGAGCUCAUAUCCUACAUCAUCCAC
rnacentral:rRNA from 1 species